rnacentral:rRNA from 1 species
UACAGAGGGUGCAAGCGUUGUUCGGAAUUAUUGGGCGUAAAGCGCGUGUAGGCGGCUUUGCAAGUCGGGUGUGAAAGCCCUCAGCUCAACUGAGGAAGUGCGCCCGAAACUGCAGAGCUUGAGUGCCGGAGAGGGUGGCGGAAUUCCCCAAGUAGAGGUGAAAUUCGUAGAUAUCAGGAGGAACACCAGUGGCGAAGGCGGCUUUCUGGACGGUAACUGACGCUGAGACGCGAAAGCGUGGGGAGCAAACAGG